AUUGAACGCUGGCGGCAGGCCUAACACAUGCAAGUCGAAUGGUAACAGGAAACAGCUUGCUGUUUCGCUGACGAGUGGCGGACGGGUGAGUAAUGUCUGGGAAACUGCCUGAUGGAGGGGGAUAACUACUGGAAACGGUAGCUAAUACCGCAUAACGUCGCAAGACCAAAGAGGGGGACCUUCGGGCCUCUUGCCAUCAGAUGUGCCCAGAUGGGAUUAGCUAGUAGGUGGGGUAACGGCUCACCUAGGCGACGAUCCCUAGCUGGUCUGCGAGGAUGACCAGCCACACUGGAACUGAGACACGGUCCAGACUCCUACGGGAGGCAGCAGUGGGGAAUAUUGCACAAUGGGCGCAAGCCUGAUGCAGCCAUGCCGCGUGUAUGAAGAAGGCCUUCGGGUUGUAAAGUACUUUCAGCGGGGAGGAAGGGAGUAAAGUUAAUACCUUUGCUCAUUGACGUUACCCGCAGAAGAAGCACCGGCUAACUCCGUG
rnacentral:rRNA from 1 species